AUGCGCUGCGGCAUGCUUUACCAUGCAAGUCGAACGGCAGCACGGACUUCGGUCUGGUGGCGAGUGGCGAACGGGUGAGUAAUACAUCGGAACGUGCCUAGUAGUGGGGGAUAACUACUCGAAAGAGUAGCUAAUACCGCAUGAGAUCUACGGAUGAAAGCAGGGGACCCUCGGGCCUUGUGCUACUAGAGCGGCUGAUGGCAGAUUAGGUAGUUGGUGGGAUAAAGCUUACCAAGCCUGUGAUCUGUAGCUGGUCUGAGAGGACGACCAGCCACACUGGGACUGAGACACGGCCCCAGACUCCCUACGGGGAGGCAGCAGUGGGGGAAUUUUGGGACAAUGGGGCGAAAAGCCCUGGAUCCCAGCAAAUGCCCGGCGUUGCAGGGAUGAAGGCCCCUCGGGGUGGUAAAACUGCUUUUUGUACGGGAAACGAAAAACCCUGAGGGCUAAAUAUCCCUCGGGGUCAUGACGGGUACCCGUAAAAAAUAAGCACCGGGCUAACUACGUGCCCACCAGCCCGCGGGUAAAUACGGUAAGGGUGCAAAGCGUUUAAUUCGGGAAUUUCCUGGGGCUUAAAAGCGUGGCGCAAGGCGGUUUUUGAAAGACAGUUGGUGAAAUCCCCCGGGCUCAACCUGGGGAACUGCCAUUGUGACUGCAAGGCUGGAGUGCGGCAAAGGGGGAUGGAUUCCGCGUGUAGCAUGAAAUUGCGUAAUAUGCGGAGAACACGAAUGGCGAAAGCAUCCCCUGGGCCUGCACUGACGCUCAUGCACGAAAGCUGGGGGAGCAAACAGGAUAAGAUACCUGGUAUCCCGCCCUAAACGAUGUCAACUGUUGUUGGAAUUACU
rnacentral:rRNA from 1 species